AAUACAUUUAUUAUUUGAUAAAAAUAUAUAAAAAUACAGUAUUUUUUGUUGAUUAACAAGUUCUCAUUUCUUUUAAAAAUUUAUUAAUAAUAUUUCAUUUAAAAAGAAACUUUAAUUAAAUGUGCAUUCAAAACUGUUAGAAAUAACGUAUAUGUAUGUAAACAAAUUAAAAAACUUAUGUAAAAAUUGCAUUUUAAUUAUUGCAGCCGUCACCUGUGGCACUGCUAGCGCUAAUAGUUUUUUUUUAGUAUUAAAAAAUAAACUUGAAUGGAUAAAUUAUAAUCGUCUGCAAUAUCGUCAGUUUUAAUUGUAUUUAUAUAUACAAUAUAUAAAAUAAACUUGAUAACUGCAGAUUAAAAAUAUGUUAUUAAUGACAGUGUGAAUUAUGCGGAAAGAGUAAGUACAAAGAAGAAUUAUCACGAUUAAAGAAACUAAUUACUCAGUUAUUGUCGCAUAUUCAGUUGCUCUCAACUCUCUUGAAAGAAGCUGGUAUCUCUGUACCUGCUGAACCAAGUUUAGAAAAAAUCUCUCCAAAAUUAUCUGAUAUGAAGGAAUGCAUUAUUAAAGAACAAGG